rnacentral:rRNA from 1 species
UACGUAGGUGGCAAGCGUUGUCCGGAAUUAUUGGGCGUAAAGCGCGCGCAGGUGGUUCUUUAAGUCUGAUGUGAAAGCCCACGGCUCAACCGUGGAGGGUCAUUGGGAACUGGGGAACUUGAGUGCAGAAGAGGAAAGUGGAAUUCCAAGUGUAGCGGUGAAAUGCGUAGAGAUUUGGAGGAACACCAGUGGCGAAGGCGACUUUCUGGUCUGUAACUGACACUGAGGCGCGAAAGCGUGGGGAGCGUACAGG